GUCGCGGCCGCCUCUGACUCGCUUGGUGCAGGUCGGGAACGCUUCGAUCUGAAUUUUUUUUUUUUUUUUGAAGUUACUGCGAUCAAAAGCGAAUCCCGCCUUGCACCAACUGAAUCGGAGGCGGCGAAGCGA
rnacentral:pre_miRNA from 1 species